CUCUCCAAUAUCUAAAAUCAAAUUUCCAUCUCUCAAUGGACACACCAACAUCUCCUCAAUGUUGAGACUCCAUAGCCAUGCCAGUCGAGAGUUUUUUCUCUUCAACAUCAAAUCCUUCCUCUGUUCUGCAAUGAUCACUCUUUAGGGUCUUCUUCUUCAAAAGGGUGUUCCUUUAUUGUGUUGGUAUGUUAGUCAAAUGGGUGUUCCCUACAGCCAUGGCUACUCACAAUCCCAGAUCAAGUUUGUGAUAUUUGAGGUGAUAUUGUGUAUAAGGAAGUAGUUUUCACUUCCUCUGCAUGCUAAAUAGCCUGUGUGAAUCUGCCUAAUUUGGAUCACCUCAACUAAGAAUUGAGAGAAGAGAGUACUUUUACAACAAUAAUGAUUCUACAUGUUGAUGUACUGCUUGCCACACACAUUCUGCGUCAGCAAGGACUUGUGUUGGUAUGGCAAGGAUUGGAGUUGUGUGGUUUUCCUUUCUAUGAACAUGAGGUUGGGUUAGCGUAUUUGAGUCGAUCCUGGUUUCUUGUUGACCAAGCUUUGAGUCAUUUGGGUUGGCUCUAGGUGUAAUUGACCAAGCUUAGAUUAGGCUACAAGCAACAAACAUGGCCUUGUCUGCCAGGAUCCAACUCAUAUGCUGUGCAUUGGCAUGCUUUGGGGUUUCGUCUUUGGAGAUCCUUCUGAGUUUUUGUGUAUUUCAGGUUUAGUUCUACUCAUAAUGGUGACUUCCACUCUUAAGUUGGGUUUGUGGUUUCGCCUUUGGUUCUCCCAAACUAAACAUUCCAGGUUCAAUCUGGGAGUAUGAUCCUCUGCUUGAAGUUGGGUCUAUAAUGGCAUGAACGUGCUUGGUUUUUUACUUAGGCAUCUUUUUCUGAGAUCUUGAGAGAAACCUCAGAUUUGGUAUUUUCUCGGAAUAAUUGGCUUACCUCAUUGAGCUUCAUUCUGACAUUUCAGCUCGUAUCAUCCACUUCAGUAUCAUGACCAGUGCUUAGUCUUUCUAAGUUUGCCUAUUGGUUGUAUUCUAACGACGGUUGAGGACACUUUUACUUGUAUUCUCUUACCAACUCUCUUUGCUCGUUUGUUUCAGUUCCUCAAAGGAUCAAAUAUUUCCCUUCUAUAGCUUGACAUUUGCAAGAUCGAUAUGGGUGGUCCUCGGCUCUCUUUGUAUGAACGCCUAGCUCUAAAGAAGGCCCCUAGAAAUGCCGUUGAGACAUCCGAGGGACCAUCGACAGUAAACGUCACUGACCUGACAGAGGACAAGAAUCCUUUUUAUUCAACCUUUGAUUCCUCAUCACAAGUCCCCUGCAAACUUUUAUCAGUCCCAUCAGCUACAUAGUGGUUCAACCACACAAGGAGUUGAGCAAUCAACUGGGAUUCGUGCUUUUGUUCUCUUGGAGCAAGAACUCGGUCAAAGUCGUCCUGAGGGGGAAAUUGGGUUUAAUGAUGGCCCUUCAGAAGCCAUCACGCAAGCCCUCUACAAGUUGCAUAAUGUAGGUUAUGUUCUUGUAGUAUCGUCCCUCUCUUUCAUACAUUACUAAUGAAGUUUCCCUUUCUAGAUCUUCAUCCAAGCUUCUGUGUCAACUAUGGGGUUGGUGAACCUCAUCAACUUUCUCCAGCAGAACUAUGUUCCCAAGACUGAGCUAGCUCAGCUUCAAGCUAGUUCAGCUCAUAUUUUCAACUAUUAGCUGAGGCUAGAAUCAGGCUGGAAUGUUGUCGAGCUGAACUUAAAACACUCAACCCUCAAUUGGCUGAGGCUGAAUCUCGCUUCCACAGUCCUGAAUCUUUAGCUGAGGAGUUCAAGAAGACAGACACAUAGGCUAAAUGCAAGAUAAUAUAAUGGAAAGCACGGUUCUUUGGACAAUUCGGCAAUGCUGUCGAUGCUUUUCCUCGGAUAGAUUUUGGAUCCAUCAAUAGAAUUGCCAAGAUUGAACUUGCAAUUAAUCAAUAAAUAAAAAUGGUCUCUGAAAGCACAGUUUAAUC